GGAGAUAGCCUACUUUAAGUUUGUAUUUAAUAAAUAUUAAUUAAAGUUUUAUUUUGGCUUAAAAAUUGAGUUUUAUUUUUAAAUAUAUGUAAAUUUUUUUAGAGAGUAGUUAGCAGUAUUUAAUUUUAAUUAUUUAUGAAAUUAAGAAUUAGAAAUAAUAAAUAAUAUAAACAAAAUUUGUGCCAGCAGUUGCGGUUAUACAAAUUAUAUAAUUUAAUUUUUUUUUAGUAAUAAUUAAUUAAUAAAAUUAAAAUUUUAUUUUUAAAUUUAUAAAGUGAAAUUUUAAAUUUAAUAAAAAAUUUUUUAUAUAAAUGAUUUAAUAAAUUUUUAUAAUAAACUAGGAUUAGAUACCCUAUUAUUAAAAAUGUAAUUUUUAUAUUAAAUUAGUAUUAGUUAUGUUCUUGAAAAUUAAAAAAUUUGGCGGUAUUUUAAUCUUUUCAGAGGAACCUGUUUUUUAAAUGAUAAUCCACGAUUUAAUUUACUUUUAUUUUUAGUUUGCAUAUCGUCGUAAUGAAAUAUUUUUUUAGAAUUAUAAAUAUUUGAAAUUUUUAAUUAAAAAAUAAUUCAGAUCAAGGUGUAGUUUAUAUAGGAGUAAAAAUGGGUUACAAUAAAUUUAUUUAAGGAUAUAUAUUUUUAAAGUAAAUUGAAUUUGGAUUUGAAAGUAAUUUUAAUUAAUUAAUUAAAAUGAUUAAGCUCUAAAAUAUGUACAUAUUGCCCGUCGCUUUCAUAUAAUAUGAAAUAAGUCGUAACAAAGUAGAUUUACUGGAAAGUGAAUCUAGACU
rnacentral:ncRNA from 1 species